rnacentral:rRNA from 1 species
UACGGAGGGUGCAAGCGUUGUCCGGAUUUAUUGGGUUUAAAGGGUGCGUAGGCGGCUUUUUAAGUCAGCGGUGAAAGACAACAGCUCAACUGUUGCAGUGCCAUUGAUACUGAAGAGCUUGAGUACAGAUGAGGUAGGCGGAAUUUAUGGUGUAGCGGUGAAAUGCAUAGAUACCAUAAAGAACACCUAUUGCGAAGGCAGCUUACUAAGCUGUAACUGACGCUGAGGCACGAAAGUGUGGGGAGCAAACAGG